GAUGAAGAACGUAGCGAAAUGCGAUAAGUAAUGUGAAUUGCAGAAUUCAGUGAAUCAUCGAAUCUUUGAACGCACCUUGCGCUCCUUGGUAUUCCGAGGAGCAUGCCUGUUUGAGUGUCAUUAAAUUCUCAACCUCUCUAGUUUUUACAAACUAGUAGAUGGCUUGGAUGUGGGGGUUUUUUGCCGGCUUUCACAAGUCAGCUCCCCUUAAAUGUAUUAGCCGGUGCCCUCUAACCGUCUAUUGGUGUGAUAAUUAUCGUCGCCGUAGACUAUUAGACUUAGUGGCAUUGCUUCUAACCGUCCUCUAUGGACAAUCUAUGACAUUUUGACCUCAAAUCAGGUAGGACUACCCGCUGAACCUAAGCAUAUCAAUAAGCGGAGGA
rnacentral:misc_RNA from 1 species